AUUUUACACAGGCAUUUUUUCAGCUCGUCACGAUAGCGCUGUCUUUCCAUGGCAACCGCCGUUUCCAUGGCACAGGCUGUACGCUCCUCCGGAGGCUGAGGGGCUUUCUGCAGAAGCUUUGCCAUCCUCAACUGUGAGCUCACGGUUGCCCUCCCCUCUCUCUUUCUCUCUCUUCCUCCUUCCUGCCCUCCCCGUUCCCUCCCUCUCUCCUUUUUUCAGGCACAGAUUCAGCCUACCGUUUAUGUGAAUUUAGGCACAUUUUCUAACAAAAAUUCACUAAAUGGAGCGAAGCUAAUUUUAAAAUGAAGUCGACUUUUCCCUCUAUUAUGUGUCAGCAGCUAUUCUGGCAUGAGAUCUGCAGAAAGCAACAGAAAUCAUCUAGAUCUUCCAUCCUACACAAGUACGGCUCUUGUGUGUUCAUUGUUGAUGAAGCUGGUGCAUUUAUGCUAAAUGGAAAGAGUUGUACGUACAAUACCACACACUAUAUGGUUGCACUUAAAUGAAAUGCCUGAGAUGACAAAUCUACAGACAGAAAAAUAUGUUGCAGUUAGAAAUAAAGGCUAAUUACUGGUCAUGAAAGGUACUCCUGAGGUGAUGCAAAUAUUCUAGAACUGGACUAUUGUGAUGGCUGUACAAAUUGGUAAAGUUACUAAAUGUCAGUGAAUUAUAAACUGAAAGUAGGCGAGUUUUAUGGUAUAUAAAUUAUACUUUAACAUUAUUAGAAAGAACAAAAACAGUAAGGGAGGGUAAGGAGAACAAUAUGGUUGUAGCUAUGGGGCCAAACCCUUAGAGAAAUAAAUUGACCAAAUCUAUACAUACAGUAAGAAGUAGAACUUUGAUUUGAAUAGAAGAUUAUUUCAUUCCAAAAUAACAUUGGAUAAGCGAAGGGGUACAUGUCAAAGAACAAUACUAGAUUAAUGAGGAUGAGAUUUAUUUAUCUGGAAUAUUUUGACUCUUUGCAGCAAAGAAACAUGCUGAAAGUAUCAUUUGGGAAACCUUGAUUUAGCAGCAGAAUUAUGGAUGAAAUCUUUUUGAAAAGGCCAGAUUGACAAAUGAGUACAGCUGUUCAGGUCAGGCGGGUCUGGGUUAGAGUUAUCAGGGCAGAGUAGGGGAGGUGCACUUUGAAGGCAGAGGUCAGGUCAUGAUGACUGAGCUCUGUGGGUUAAGUGUAUAUAAAAUUACGUUGUAAUACCCUUCACUGCUGGGCAUAUUGAAGGCAAUACUCAGAUAGGGAGAGUACCGCUGUCAUGGGGGAUGAAAAGGCUGAGCGUGUUCAUUAAUC
rnacentral:lncRNA from 1 species